rnacentral:rRNA from 1 species
GAUGAACGCUGGCGGCGUGCCUAAUACAUGCAAGUCGAGCGAACAGACGAGGAGCUUGCUCCUCUGACGUUAGCGGCGGACGGGUGAGUAACACGUGGAUAACCUACCUAUAAGACUGGGAUAACUUCGGGAAACCGGAGCUAAUACCGGAUAAUAUAUUGAACCGCAUGGUUCAAUAGUGAAAGACGGUUUUGCUGUCACUUAUAGAUGGAUCCGCGCCGCAUUAGCUAGUUGGUAAGGUAACGGCUUACCAAGGCAACGAUGCGUAGCCGACCUGAGAGGGUGAUCGGCCACACUGGAGCUGAGACACGGUCCAGACUCCUACGAGAGGCAGCAGUAGGGAAUCUUCCGCAAUGGGCGAAAGCCUGACGGAGCAACGCCGCGUGAGUGAUGAAGGUCUUCGGAUCGUAAAACUCUGUUAUUAGGGAAGAACAAAUGUGUAAGUAACUAUGCACGUCUUGACGGUACCUAAUCAGAAAGCCACGGCUAACUACGUG